UACGUAGGUGGCAAGCGUUAUCCGGAUUUAUUGGGCGUAAAGGGAACGCAGGCGGUCUUUUAAGUCUGAUGUGAAAGCCUUCGGCUUAACCGGAGUAGUGCAUUGGAAACUGGGAGACUUGAGUGCAGAAGAGGAGAGUGGAACUCCAUGUGUAGCGGUGAAAUGCGUAGAUAUAAGGAAGAACACCAGUGGCGAAAGCGGCUCUCUGGUCUGUAACUGACGCUGAGGUUCGAAAGCGUGGGUAGCAAACAGG
rnacentral:rRNA from 1 species